rnacentral:misc_RNA from 1 species
AAUUCUCAACUGCCCCGAACUUCUUGCGAAGGGUGAAGUUGGACUUGGAGGUCUUUGCUGGCGCACGUCUCACGUGCUUGUCGGCUCCUCUUGAAUGCAUGAGCUUUCCAAUCCUUUGGCAGAGUAUCGUCGAUGUGAUAAUUAUCUACAUCGUCCGAGAAAGCCGACAAGGGGAAAUCUUCGAUCGCGCCGGGGCGACCCGCGCCUGACAA